UACGGAGGGUGCAAGCGUUAAUCGGAAUCACUGGGCGUAAAGCGUGCGUAGGCUGUCUAGCAAGCCAGACGUGAAAGCCCUCGGCUCAACCGGGGAACUGCGUUUGGAACUGCUUGACUUGAGUCCGAGAGAGGGCGGCGGAAUUCCGGGUGUAGGAGUGAAAUCCGUAGAUAUCCGGAGGAACACCGGUGGCGAAGGCGGCCGCCUGGAUCGGUACUGACGCUGAGGUACGAAAGCGUGGGGAGCAAACAGG
rnacentral:rRNA from 1 species